rnacentral:rRNA from 1 species
CCUACGGGAGGCAGCAGUAGGGAAUAUUGGGCAAUGGGCGCAAGCCUGACCCAGCCAUGCCGCGUGCAGGAAGAAGGCCCUCUGGGUUGUAAACUGCUUUUGGGAGAGGACAAAAAGCCAAUGCGUUGGUAAUUGAGUGUACCUCCAGAAUAAGCACCGGCUAACUCCGUGCCAGCAGCCGCGGUAAUACGGAGGGUGCAAGCGUUGUCCGGAUUUAUUGGGUUUAAAGGGUGCGUAGGCGGCCAAAUAAGUCGGAGGUGAAACCCACAGGCUUAACCUGUGGAGUGCCUUCGAUACUGUAUGGCUUGGGUUAUCUCUAGGCGGGCGGAAUGGAAGGUGUAGCGGUGAAAUGCAUAGAUAUCUACCAGAACACCGAUAGCGAAGGCAGCUCGCUGGGGAUAUACCGACGCUGAGGCACGAUAGCGUGGGGAUCAAACAGGAUUAGAUACCCCAGUAGUC